AGAAGCCGAAGCACUCCUGUAACCCUGUAACAAGUAAAUCAGGCAUAAGGUUCGUGCAUAAAGAAAAGAAAUGCUGGAGUACAUGGAAUGGUAACAAUGAAGAAGUAAUAAAGCAGUACUAUGCAAUAACUACAAUCAUAACGAGGCAUAUUAUGAAUAUUUAUCAGGUGUUUCAGACAUACUUCCAAUUUGGUGAUAAAGACAG
rnacentral:misc_RNA from 1 species